UGCCAGCAGCCGCGGUAAUACGAGGGGUGCAAGCGUUAUUCGGAAUCACUGGGCGUAAAGGGUGCGUAGACGGCGCAGAGAGUCUGUUGUUUAAUCUUUCAGCUUAACUGAAAAUUCGCAAUGGAAACUUUUGUGCUAGAGGAUGAGAGAGAGGAGUGGAAUUCCCGGAGUAGCGGUCAAAUGCGUGGAUCUCGGGAGGAACACCAAUGGCGAAGGCAGCUUCUUGGCUCAUUUCUGACGUUGAGGCACGAAAGCGUGGGGAGCGAACAGGAUUAGAUA
rnacentral:rRNA from 1 species